CAAGAGCUCUCUAUCUUCAGAGUCAGGCAUAUUUGUGCCAAUUUUGGACGGAGGUGUGUUCCGUAAAGAAGACAUGUUGAAACUGAGUAAAGUAAUGUGUUAAAUCAAACACCGAUACUUUUUUCUGAGACACCCGUUAGUUACUCAAAAAUAAAAAAUGGGCAAUUUUGCAAAUUCUGCAAAUUAAAGUACCGUAUUCAGGCAAUUGCAUGGAUAACAAAGCUGAAUGCUGCAAACUUGGAAC